rnacentral:rRNA from 1 species
GAUGAACGCUGACAGAAUGCUUAACACAUCAGCGAUGGAUUGGUGACGGACGGGUGAGUAACGCGUAUAUAGCUUACCUCACAGUUAGGGGCAACAUUUGGAAACGACUGCUAAUACCUAAUACCGUGAGAGAGCUUUUGGUCCCAUUAGCUAGUGGGAGAGGUAACGGCUCACGAAGGCGAUGAUGGGUAGCCGGCCUGAGAGGGUGAUCGGCUACAAGCGGACAGAGACACGGGCCGUACUCCUACGGGAGGCAGCAGUGGAGAAGAUAGGACAAUAGGCCAAUGUCUGAUCCAGCAAUGCUGUGUGCAAGAUGAAGUUUUCGGGAUGUAAAGUGCUUGCAGUUGGGAAGCGGUACCAACAGAAGAAGCACCGGCUAACUCCGUGCCAGCAGCCGCGGUAAUUC